UACAGAGGGGGCAAGCGUUGUUCGGAAUUACUGGGCGUAAAGGGCGCGUAGGCGGCCUUCUAAGUCGAACGUGAAAUCCCUGGGCUCAACCCAGGAACUGCGUCCGAUACUGGAAGGCUUGAAUCCGGGAGAGGGAUGCGGAAUUCCAGGUGUAGCGGUGAAAUGCGUAGAUAUCUGGAGGAACACCGGUGGCGAAGGCGGCAUCCUGGACCAAUUCUGACGCUGAGUGAGCGAAAGCCAGGGGAGCAAACGGGG
rnacentral:rRNA from 1 species